rnacentral:tRNA from 1 species
AUCGAAGUAGCACAGUUGGGAGAGCGUUAGACUAUAGUUCGAAAGGUCCCUUGUCGAUCCCGGGAUUAGCAA